GACAAACCGGGGGCAUUCGUAUCAUUACGCGAGAGGUGAAAUUCGUGGACCGUAGUGAGACGCCCAACAGCGAAAGCAUUUGCCAAGAAUGUCUUCAUUAAUCAAGAACGAAAGUCAGAGGUUCGAAGGCGAUUAGAUACCGCCCUAGUUCUGACCGUAAACGAUGCCAUCUCGCGAUUCGGAGGGUUUUUGCCCUGCCGAGGAGCUAUCCGGAAACGAAAGUCUUUCGGUUCCGGGGGUAGUAUGGUUGCAAAGCUGAAACUUAAAGAAAUUGACGGAAGGGCACCACAAGGCGUGGAGCUUGCGGCUUAAUUUGACUCAACACGGGAAAACUCACCCGGUCCGGACACCAUUAGGACUGACAGAUUGAAAGCUCUUUCUCGAUUUGGUGGUUGGUGGUGCAUGGCCGUUCUUAGUUGGUGGAGUGAUUUGUCUGGUUUAUUCCGAUAACGAGCGAGACUCUAGCCUGCUAAAUAGUUGGCGAAUCUUCGGGUUCGUAUAACUUCUUAGAGGGAUAAGCGGUGUUUAGCCGCACGAGAUUGAGCGAUAACAGGUCUGUGAUGCCCUUAGAUGUCCGGGGCUGCACGCGUGCUACACUGGUGGACUCAGCGGGUUUUUCCUAUGCCGAAAGGUAUCGGUAAACCGUUGAAAUUCUUCCAUGUCCGGGAUAGGGUAUUGUAAUUAUUGCCCUUAAACGAGGAAUGCCUAGUAAGUGUGAGUCAUCAGCUCACGUUGAUUACGUCCCUGCCCUUUGUACACACCGCCCGUCGCUAUCCGGGACUGAACUGAUUCGAGAAGAGUGGGGACUGUCGCUUCGAGGUUUAACGACUUCGUUGUUGCGGAAACCAUUUUUAUCGCAUUGGUUUGAACCGGGUAAAAGUCGUAACAAGGUAGCUGUAGGUGAACCUGCAGCUG
rnacentral:rRNA from 2 species